CAGCGACUUAUAUUCUGUAGCAAGGUUAACCGUAUAGGGGAGCCGAAGGGAAACCGAGUCUUAACUGGGCGUUAAGUUGCAGGGUAUAGACCCGAAACCCGGUGAUCUAGCCAUGGGCAGGUUGAAGGUUGGGUAACACUAACUGGAGGACCGAACCGACUAAUGUUGAAAAAUUAGCGGAUGACUUGUGGCUGGGGGUGAAAGGCCAAUCAAACCGGGAGAUAGCUGGUUCUCCCCGAAAGCUAUUUAGGUAGCGCCUCGUGAACUCAUCUUCGGGGGUAGAGCACUGUUUCGGCUAGGGGGUCAUCCCGACUUACCAACCCGAUGCAAACUGCGAAUACCGAAGAAUGUUAUCACGGGAGACACACGGCGGGUGCUAACGUCCGUCGUGAAGAGGGAAACAACCCAGACCGCCAGCUAAGGUCCCAAAGUCACAGUUAAGUGGGAAACGAUGUGGGAAGGCUCAGACAGCCAGGAUGUUGGCUUAGAAGCAGCCAUCAUUUAAAGAAAGCGUAAUAGCUCACUGGUCGAGUCGGCCUGCGCGGAAGAUGUAACGGGGCUAAACUGUGCACCGAAGCUGCGGCAGCGACGCUUAUGCGUUGUUGGGUAGGGGAGCGUUCUGUAAGCCUGCGAAGGUGUCCUGUGAGGGAUGCUGGAGGUAUCAGAAGUGCGAAUGCUGACAUAAGUAACGAUAAUGCGGGUGAAAAGCCCGCUCGCCGGAAGACCAAGGGUUCCUGUCCAACGUUAAUCGGGGCAGGGUGAGUCGACCCCUAAGGCGAGGCCGAAAGGCGUAGUCGAUGGGAAACGGGUUAAUAUUCCCGUACUUGGUGUUACUGCGAAGGGGGGACGGAGAAGGCUAUGUUGGCCGGGCGACGGUUGUCCCGGUUUAAGCGUGUAGGCUGGUUUUCCAGGCAAAUCCGGAAAAUCAAG
rnacentral:rRNA from 2 species